rnacentral:lncRNA from 1 species
GAUGUUCAAUUUUAUGUUGAGGUUAUGGACAUGGUCCAGAAUGUUGGAGGUGGAAAGAGAUCUGCCUAUGACCCUGAUGAGCUUGAAGAAGAACAACGGGAGCGAGAUAGGAAGAACAAAAUUAAUGUAGAAUUCCAAACCUUUGUGAAUCGGCUGAAUGAUCUCUGGGGGCAACCUCAAUUCAAUGGCCUUGACCUGGAGUUUGACCAACCUCUUAGAGAGCUUGGCUUCCCUGGGGUGCCUCAUAAAUCUUCAGUAUUUAUUGUACCUACUUCUGCCUGCCUUGUUGAACUGAUAGAGACCCCUUUCCUUGUUGUCACGCUUAGUGAGAUUGAGAUUGUUAAUCUUGAGAGAGUUGGACUUGGGCAGAAAAACUUUGAUAUGACAGUAGUUUUUAAGGACUUCAAGAGGGAUGUCCUCAGGAUUGAUUCUAUCCCUUCUACAUCACUGGAUGGCAUCAAGGAGUGGCUUGACACAACAGACAUCAAAUAUUAUGAGAGCAGGCUGAAUCUGAACUGGCGUCAGAUCCUGAAGACAAUCACGGAUGACCCUCAGAGCUUUAUUGAAGGUGGUGGUUGGGAGUUUCUGAAUUUGGAAGCUACUGAUUCAGAAUCUGAGAACUCAGAGGAGUCAGAUAAAGGUUACGAACCAUCUGAUGUGGAACCUGAAUCUGAUUCGGAGGAUGAAGCUUCUGAUAGUGAAUCACUUGUUGAGUCAGAGGAUGAUGGCGAGGAAGAUUCCGAGGAAGAUUCAGAGGAAGAGAAGGGAAAGACGUGGGAAGAACUGGAGAGGGAAGCAAGCAAUGCAGAUCGGGAGAAAGGGAAUGAGUCUGACAGUGAAGAAGAUAGGAAAAGAAGAAAGGCAAAAAGCUUUGGUAAGUCAAGAGGAGCCGGUCUAAGUAGUAGCAUGACAAAGCGGCCCAAGUUAAGAUAGAUUUUUGCUCUUUUUCUUAACUGGUUUAUGGUUUAGUUCAGUUACUCUAUGUAUGUUGUUGCCUGCGGUAGCAGCUUUUGCGUUUGUAGGAGUAGUCUCAUGAUUGUAAGGUAGGGUUUUUCUUUUUAUAUUAUAGUUCAGCCACUUGAUAGCAAUUCUUGCAUCCAAUGUAUGGCCUUAAAAAUUUACGUGCUUUACUCAUUUAAUGACUUCUUAAUUUUGUUUCUUAUUAUUAGAUCUAACAUUUUUUGUGCGCUUUUUUGUUUAUAUUUUUUUUCCUGCUGGCUGUUUUCUUUGUUAGAAAGCGGGUGAAACAUGCAGGUUAAAUUAUCACAAAACCAAUUGGAAUUUAGCAUAUUGAAUUAUGUUUUCUUUGGAAUUUUAUUUGAAACCUGAUAAUAUUUCAUUAAUUAUUGGUCCUUUCUUGAGGUGGAUCAAAGCUUCUUCUCUCCUCAUAUGUUCACUAUUCAAAAGCUGUUAAAUGUUGGUGCUUUUUCUACUUUUUAUUAUGUUUUCUGUUUAUUUUUUAAAAUAAUUUUAAAUUGUUUUGCUUUUUUAAUUCUCCCGCUCUUUUCAUUAGUGAUUUGUGAGUGAAUUCAUUUCAUCCCCAUGGUGGUUUGAGCCAUGUUGGCUAAAUUUUGGCUCACUACUACUAAAGUGAGCCAACCACUGAUCUGAAAGUUUUGACUACAGGUGCGUGAAGAGCCACAGCUUUAGCUUGAACUGGUAACUAGUAAGUCCCCACAUUUUGGGAUUCUUAUCCAAAUAGUAUUGUGACAUGGAUAUGACAUGAGACAAACCUAGUUGUUUUGUAUGCGUCUUAAAAUUUCACCCUCGUAGUAGUAGGUCAUUAAGUCUUAUGGAACUUGCCUCUGUCUUGGAUAGCAUUGAGCUAUCUAUCAAAUAUUUUCCUUUUCCUUUUACGACAUGGGAGAAUUCAUAGGGAUGAGUAAAUUACUGUUACAGGCAUUGUUUUAUUCAUCCGAUUGGGAUGGUUUUGGGUUGAUUGGAUUUGAGAUGUUAUUAGGUGACUAAAGGAGUAAUGAAGGAAAUAAAUAAUCUUUAGAAAAGUCAACUUUUUUAAAAGAAAGUCAAAAAAUAAUAUGUAAGAUAUGACUAAAGUGAAGGAAAAAUCUUACUUAAAAUAAUACCUCUAAUAAUAAUAUUUUUUCUGGAGUAUUAUAUAUAAAAAUAUAUUUAAAUAUGAUUUAAAUAUAUUUUUGGUGUUUAUAAUUUAGUGAUUUUUUUAUUUUUAGUUCUUGUAAAAUUAUCGUUUUAUUUUUAAUUAUUAUAAGUUAUAUUUGUUUUGUUUUUAAUUCUUAAUACACUUUAAAUAAUAUUUUAAAUAAUAAAAAAAUGUUAUCAAAGAGUCACAAAAACAAAAAAUAAAAAAAAUAAUUUUUUAAGAGUUAAAAAUCAAAAAAUACUAAAUUUCAACAUUUAAAUCUUUAAAUAUUUAUUGACAUACAUUUAUUAAAAUUUAAACUAAAUAAUUAAUAAAAGAUUAAAAAUUUAAAAUAAUAUAAAGAAUGAACUGAAGAGAAUAACAAUUUUACAAAACAAUUUUAUCAUCAUUAAUUCAUUUUAAGUUUUUAUUGCUUAUAUAAUUAAUACUAUAAAAAAAUAUAAAUAAAAAAUUAUAAUUAAUGUUAGUAUUAAAAUAAUAUUAUUUUAAAACAAAUUUUUAUCCUACUUGACUAUUAUUAUUGGAUCGAGUAUUAUAGACAUUUAUUAUUGUUAAAUAUUUUCUUAUUUUUGUUUAUGCCAUGUGCCUCAACUUUCUAUGAUGAUGAUAUAAUCAUUCUUACCAGAUGAACCCUAAUUUCCAUCCUUUCGAUCUUCCCUUCUUCUCCUUCUCCUUCAUCUUUUUUGGUCGAUGCUCCAUCUCAACCACACCGCACAGAGAGUAUAUAUUUAUGUGUGUGUGUGUGCAUUGAAACUCUGAUCUUCGACCCCACCCAAUUUUACUGCCCCAAAUUCAGUCUCAUAAAUCCCCAAAUUAAGGAGGAAAAAGAAAGCACGAAAAGCUCUCGCUCACCCCCAGACAGACGCAAAGUGACCGAAAAGGUUUUGAUCUUUCCAUUUUUGGGAUUUAAUAUUGGUUUUCAUUUUUCCACUGUGAUUUUAGAAUCAUGAAGCUCUAAUUUCGUGGUAGAAAGUAAAAGCCAUUUUUUUUUUCUGUUUUACUAUUUAAAAAAAUUGAUAUUUAGGAAUUAUUGGGUUAAUGAGUGGAAUUCGUGAUUUGUUCAUCAUACAGUUAUGUAAAAGACUCGGCAAUUCAUUGGGGCGCUAUUUUCUUAAUCUCUCUUCGAAUUGCAUGUGUGGCUGUGGCAGAGGUGACUUGCUGUUCUCAAGCCUUCAAGGAAAAGUUGUGUGGUUUGUAUUUUCUUCUAAAUCUCGCAUUCUAUGUUUUUGUAUUAAUGCUCAAGUGGCUGGACCUUCAUUUGAGUAUUUUAAAUUUGUGGCAUAUUUCCUUAUUUCCAAAUCUCUCUGUUUACUGAUUUGCAUGGUAUCCAUGUCCGGAAUUUCAUAUAUAAAGCAUGAAAGCAAACACUCCCGUAGGUAUUGAUUUAAGGGCUAUUAUACCGAGUUCGAGACUAUGAAAUUGCACAACUAGUGAAGUAAUGCUAUUUCCUUUCUUUUGUGUUCUCAUUUGUUAAAGUACAUGCUGACCUGCUAUUGUAAAUGUUAUAUCUAAAAUUAUUUGAUGCUUACUACUUUCAUUAUUUACUAAUUUUCUGGAUUUAAGGGUUAUACUUAAUUACUUAUUAUUAAUUUAAACUGUCUUAGAUGUGGGUUUGUGUUUUCGGAUUGUUUUUGUGCUCUUUUUUCUCUUAUAUGAAAAGGUCAGUAGAUUGCCCACUCCUAGAUCUUUUUCUUAGUAGCUUGUUUUGGAUCUUUAGUUUGUGCUGCUUAUUCAUUGUUUGUAUGCUUGUUCUUAUUCCUACACUCCAGUUCCCUCUUUUCCCCAAAUGUUGGGCAGUUCUUCAAGCAACAAAUUUUCUUUCAUAAAUGUCAGGCAAUCAUUAGUUUUGCACUUUUGCUGAUUGUGGCCAUUGAACAUUCCUCGAGCCUCAUUAUGUGGCUAUAUACCAUAUUUACUCGAUUAUUUUUCUUUCAAGUUGUUUAUCUGAGGCUGUACUGAAAGGUUGUAAAAGCAACCAAGUUAUCUUUCCCAUGGUUGUACAUUCAUUUUUUUCAAACAUGAUAUAAUUGGAGUUCAUUUUGCUCAAUGAUUCUGAUUUAGAUAGAUUUCUUAUAGCUUCUUUUGUUGCUACCAUAUUUUGAUAUUUUCAUAUAUUCUUUGGGUAUCACAUUCCAUUGUUACAGAUGGUGCUUAGAUCUACACUAUCCUGAAUAUUGCUAUUUCGAAAAGUAUGUUAGUUGGGGAAAUGAUAAUACUUUUGUCAUGAUUUACGUCUAUUCUUGGUAAUAUUUUCCAGUAGUUUCAUUUAUGCUGCACCAUCAUCUAUAGUGAUUGCAUGUUGCUUAUUUCUUUGCUUUGUUGAUCUUAACUCAGUACAAGCAGAUGGUACUUAUAAUUGUUAUAUUACAUUCUUCAAAGUUCAAUGUAUAAUUAGAGUUCAUUAUUUCAAACUUAUGGGUUUAUUUAUUCAUAUUCUUGGAUUUUAUAAUUUUGUUGUUUGUGUCUUGAGAUAUGGCCAAGGACAAAAAUGGAAGGGAUGGAGAUAACUAGGACUCCUUGUUCCGUUAAGCACCCACUGUUCCCAUGGCUAAAAAAGAACUGAAAAGUAUUUUGCAUCAGUAUUUUUUUGCUAAACUUCUUACUAAUGUUACUGUGCUUCUCUUGAUUUUUUUUUCCAGAGUGGUAGGAAAACUAUGGCAGACCAUCGAAAUGGAAGUACACAACCUCCUAAUGGAAAGACCAGUGCAGCAGGAUCCGCAUAUUCUAUUGAUCUGAAUGCAUUUCAAUCCCGAUUGAAAGCUUUUUAUGAGCACUGGGAUGAUCACAAAACAGAUUUGUGGGGCUCUUCUGAUGCAAUAGCAAUAGCAUGUCCUCCACCUUCAGAAGAUCUGCGAUACCUGAAAUCUACUGCUCUGAACUUAUGGCUGCUUGGAUUUGAGUUCCCUGAGACAAUUAUGGUUUUCAUGAAGAAGCAGAUCCAUAUCUUGUGCAGCCAAAAGAAGGCUUCUAUUCUUGAAUCUGUCAAAAAAUCUGCCAGAGAGGCAGUUGGUGCAGAUCUUGUUUUGCAUGUCAAACCUAAAAACGAUGAUGGAUCUGCUCUAAUGGAUGCUAUAUUCCGCGCCAUCCGUGCUCUGCCAAAGUCUGAUGACCAUGAUUCUUCCACUGUUGGAUACAUAUCAAGAGAGGCUCCUGAAGGGAAACUGCUUGAAACAUGGACUGAAAAAUUAAAAAAUACAAAAUUUCAACUAAUUGAUGUUGCCAAUGGGUUCUCUUAUUUGUUUGCGGCAAAGAGUAAUGAGGAGCUUACAUCAAUUAAGAGAGCAGCAUACCUCACCACCAGUGUGAUGAAAAACUUUGUGGUUACAAAACUUGAGAAUGUAAUAGAUGAGGAGAAGAAAAUCUCUCAUUCAACGUUGAUGGAGGAGACUGAGAAAGUUAUUCUGGAACCUUCAAAAGUCAAUUGUAAGCUAAAGGCAGAUAACGUUGAUAUUUGUUACCCCCCAAUUUUUCAGAGUGGUGGAGAGUUUGAUCUGAAGCCCAGUGCUGUCAGCAAUGAUGAGUUAUUGCAUUAUGAUUCUGCCAGCGUGAUUAUAUGUGCAGUUGGAGCUCGAUAUAAGAGUUAUUGCUCAAACAUAGCUAGGACCUUCUUGAUUGAUGCAGACCCUCUUCAAAGUAGGGCUUAUGAGGUUCUUCUGAAAGCCCAUGAAGCUGUCAUAGGUUCUAUGAAGCCUGGAAACAAGUUAAGUGUUGCAUACCAAGCUGCAGUUUCUGUUGUGGAAAGGGAUGCACCUGACUUGAUUUCAUAUUUGACAAAAUCUGCUGGGACAGGCAUCGGCAUUGAGUUUCGUGAAUCAGGAUUGAAUCUUAAUGCAAAAAAUGAACAGAUAAUUAGAGAAGGCAUGGUCUUUAACGUGUCACUUGGUUUUCAGAAUUUACAGUGUGAGAACAGUAAGUCUAAGAACAAGCAAUUCUCUUUGUUGCUUGCUGACACAGUCAUCAUCACCAAAGAUAAGACAGAAAUUGUGACUUCUACAAGCUCAAAAGCUCUGAAGGAUGUAGCAUACUCUUUCAAUGAGGAUGAGGAAGAGGAAAGGCCAAGCACAAAAUCAGAUGCCAAGAAAGCGGAGCCCUUUAUGUGUAAGACAACUCUUAGGUCAGACAAUCAUGAAGUUUCAAAGGAGGAGCUUCGCAGGCAGCAUCAGGCAGAACUUGCUCGCCAGAAAAAUGAAGAAACUGCAAGGCGUCUUGCUGGUGGUGGAAGUGAAACAGGAGAAGCCCGUUCCUCUGCAAGGACUUCAGCAGAACUCAUGGCCUACAAAAACAUAAAUGACCUUCCCCCUCCCAGAGAGAUGAUGAUUCAGAUUGAUCAGAAGAAUGAAGCAGUUCUCUUGCCUAUAAAUGGAAGCAUGGUACCUUUUCAUGUGGCUUUCAUUCGAACUGUUUCCAGCCAGCAGGACACCAACCGCAAUUGCUAUGUCAGAAUUAUUUUUAAUGUUCCUGGGACUCCUUUCAGUCCUCAUGAUGCAAACUCAAUGAAGUUCCCUGGAUCUAUAUAUUUGAAGGAGGCGUCAUUCCGCUCCAAGGAUUCGAGGCACAUAAGUGAGGUUGUGCAGUCCAUUAAAACACUCAGGCGUCAAGUUGUAGCAAGGGAGUCUGAGAGAGCUGAGAGGGCAACCUUGGUUACUCAGGAGAAACUGCAACUUGCUAAUAAUAGGUUUAAGCCGAUAAGGUUAUCUGACCUUUGGAUCCGUCCUGCUUUUGGUGGGCGUGGGAGGAAGAUACCUGGUACACUUGAGGCUCAUGUUAAUGGAUUUCGUUAUUCUACCACUAGGCAAGAUGAGCGUGUAGACAUAAUGUUUGGCAACAUUAAGCAUGCAUUUUUCCAGCCAGCAGAGAAUGAAAUGAUCACUCUCCUACACUUCCAUCUGCACAACCAUAUUAUGGUAGGAAAUAAAAAGACCAAGGAUGUUCAAUUUUAUGUUGAGGUUAUGGACAUGGUCCAGAAUGUCGGGGGUGGUAAGAGGUCAGCCUAUGAUCCUGACGAGCUUGAAGAAGAACAACGAGAGCGACAGAGGAAGAACAAAAUUAAUGUAGAAUUCCAAACCUUUGUGAAUCGGGUGAAUGAUCUCUGGGGGCAACCUCAAUUCAAUGGCUUUGACCUGGAGUUUGACCAACCUCUUAGAGAGCUUGGCUUCCCUGGGGUGCCUCAUAAAUCUUCAGUAUUUAUUGUACCUACUUCUGCCUGCCUUGUUGAACUGAUAGAGACCCCUUUCCUUGUUGUCACGCUUAGUGAGAUUGAGAUUGUUAAUCUUGAGAGAGUUGGACUUGGGCAGAAAAACUUUGAUAUGACAGUAGUUUUUAAGGACUUCAAGAGGGAUGUCC